rnacentral:rRNA from 1 species
UACGAAGGGGGCUAGCGUUGCUCGGAAUCACUGGGCGUAAAGGGUGCGUAGGCGGUUUUGUAAGUCUUAUGUGAAAUCUAUGGGCUCAACUCAUAGACUGCAUGAGAAACUGCAGGGCUUGAGUAUGGGAGAGGUGAGUGGAAUUCCUGGUGUAGCGGUGAAAUGCGUAGAUAUCAGGAGGAACACCUGUGGCGAAAGCGGCUCACUGGACCAUAACUGACGCUGAUGCACGAAAGCUAGGGGAGCAAACAGG